rnacentral:misc_RNA from 1 species
UCCACCACCACCACCACCACCACCUGUCAAUCUGCUACCCAAAGCUGCCAAUGCUGAAAGAAAGUCUCCAUGUUGUCCUUCCUUGCCGCCGCCACCACCACCACUCCCAAUGAGGCCACUAGUCAGAGCGGCCUCUGCUCCAAAAACUUCUGCAAUUGUAGAAUUCUAUCACUCCUUGAGAAAGCAAGAGGAGAAGAGAGAUAUUCCAGGACCAGGGAAUCAGUAUAAACCAGCCGUGACAAGUGCACACAGCAGCAUAGUUGGAGAGAUUCAAAAUCGUUCAGCUCAUCUGUUAGCUAUAAAAGCUGAUGUCCAAACAAAAGGUAAUUUCAUCAAUGGACUUAUCCAAAAAGUAUUAGCUGUGGCAUAUACAGAUAUUGAAGAUGUCCUUAAAUUUGUGGAUUGGCUUGACGGUGAACUCUCAACAUUGGUAUUUCCAAAUCAUUUCCAUCCUUCUUUUCCCCCUUUUUGUUAGCUUCGGAUUUAGUUGCUGGUAGAAGGUUGCUUGUUGUCCCAAAAUUUAUUACUGUUCUAUGGCAUGUAAAAUAUGCACCCUAUUCAUCUGUAACAGUUAAAACUGGUAGUCCAAAGUCUAUCCCAAACCUAAAGCAUUAAGGAAAUCGUGUCUCAGACUAAGACCGUAAAUCAACUUCUCCUAUUCUAUUUAUUGAACUUAUUUUAUUCCAUAUUCUAAAUUUGCAUUCACAAUGAACUUUUCCAUUGAGUUUGUCCCGCAAACAACUUUCCAAUUUCUUUAUAAUUUGCAUUAUUAGAUAUCAUAGAAAGCUAGCUAACCCUUCUCUUGUAGACUGUGAAGCGUAAAAUCACUAGAGUCAAUCAGCAAGUACUUGCUGACAGAUGUGGCUCCUUCAAUUUUUCAGUUGAACUUUUUAUUGGCUUAGUGCAGAUAAAUUAAACUCACAUCCCUUGUAAGAAACCUGUUUUAGGAUGCAUUGAGUGUGAUUUAUUUUGCUAUUUUUAUUUUCCACCAAAUAAUUAAUGAUGGCCAAGGAAAAAAUUCUCUCUCUAGAAAAGUUUUUCACGAGAGUCUCCUGAUAUGACCUGAGCUAAUUAGGCAUAACGGCAAUGAGAAGGAGAUAUAACAAAGAGGAGGAAAAAAAUAUUGAGAUAAAAGAGGGAGAAUAGAAAUUGAGGAGAUUUUAGAAAAAUCUUUGUUAUUGAUCAAUGCCCUUACAAGUGGUACACAUUCUAUUUUAUGGCUAGUACUCAGGGUCACUACAUCUCCGAUGAAUAUUAUUGGAGUUAUGUUUGUACAAGAUACAACAAAAUAAGGUUUUGGUUAGGUUUGGAAUGGGAGAGUUGUAAAAUGGUGACACAGAAUGCUCUAGAACGUCCCCUUUUUUUUUCCUCAGUAUUUAGCCUGUAUUCUGUUUUUCCUGCAGGCUGAUGAGCGGGCUGUGUUAAAGCAUUUCAAUUGGCCAGAGAAGAAAGCUGAUGCCAUUAGAGAAGCGGCUAUUGAGUAUCGUGCACUGAAACUAUUAGAAAGUGAGAUAUGUUCCUUUAAAGAUGAUACUGACAUUCCAUGUGGAACUGCCUUGAAAAAGAUGGCUGUCUUGCUUGACAAGUAAGAAUAUUAUGCUGCAAUGAAUUUAAUUGUUUGUGCAUUCAAGCAUAUGCCCUUUAAACUGUCAUUUUGUUGCCUUUCUGGCCUGUCUUCUGAUCAUAUAAGGUCUGAGCGAAGCAUUGGAAGGCUGACCAAACUUCGAAACUCAGUUUUGCGCUCUUACGAGGAUUGGAAAAUUCCAACAAAUUGGAUGCUUGAUUCUGGAAUAGUGAGCAAGGUAUGCUUUUCUACAUGGUUUUCCUGUUGAAUGAAUUCAACCAGGUUGUUUAGCAUGUUAUAUUUGAAGUUCUAUGUUUGUGUUGGGAGAUCUUAAUUCUUUAGAACUUGUAGUUAUGUCUUUAUUCUGAUCAACUUGUAAUUGUUUUUAAACAAUGGUCAUCUCUGCUUCAGCAUUGCACAUCAUAGUGUGCAUUUAUGAUGAAUUAAUAGUUAAUGAUGAUGCCAUACAGAUCAAGCAUGCUUCUAUGAAGCUGGCGAAGAUGUACAUGAGGAGAGUGAUAAUGGAGCUUGAAUUGGCGCGAAAUUCAGAUAGGGAAUCCAAUCAAGAAGCAUUGGUCCUUCAAGGUGUGCACUUUGCAUAUAGGGCACAU